UUUGCCAUUUAAGUGUCUGGUCAACAGGAGAAAUGUUUCUUCUACUUCUACAGCUCAUGAUUCCAGCUCAUUGGCCAUUUGAUUGCAAGAAAUAACUAUUCCAGUUCUGCAGGUUUUUAUUCCAGAUUACAACGUCUCUGUUGCUGAAUUAGUAAUACCCGGGAGUGACCUUUCACAACACAUCAGUACUGCUGGUCAUGAGGCAUCAGGCACUGGCAGCAUGAAAUUUUUGAUGAAUGGGUGUUUACUUUUAGCUACAUCUGAUAGUUCCACUACUGAAAUCAUUAAAGAGAUCGGAGAAGAUAAUAUGUUUAUAUUUGGUGCCAAAGUACACGAAGUACCUGCUUUACGUGAUAAAGGAUCCACCCUUAAAACACCUCUUCAAUUCGCGCGUGUUGUCAGGUAUGUCAUCAAAGUGCAAGAUCUCUUUGCUUUGGCAAAUGUGAUAUUUCUUAUGACGGUUCACUAACCCUCAAAAGGUCCUGCAGUUGUUUUCAAGUAUACGUUCCAACUGUCCCAUAUUAAUUUCUUGUGAAUCCGGUUGAAUUUGAAUGGUUC